rnacentral:rRNA from 1 species
GACGAACGCUGGCGGCGUGCUUAACACAUGCAAGUCGAACGGAAAGGCCCUGCUUUUGUGGGGUUCUCGAGUGGCGAACGGGUGAGUAACACGUGAGUAACCUGCCCUUGACUUUGGGAUAACUUCAGGAAACUGGGGCUAAUACCGGAUAGGAGCUCCUGCUGCAUGGGGGGGGUUGGAAAGUUUCGGCGGUUGGGGAUGGACUCGCGGCUUAUCAGCUUGUUGGUGGGGUAGUGGCUUACCAAGGCUUUGACGGGUAGCCGGCCUGAGAGGGUGACCGGCCACAUUGGGACUGAGAUACGGCCCAGACGCCUACGGGAGGCAGCAGUGGGGAAUAUUGCACAAUGGGCGGAAGCCUGAUGCAGCAACGCCGCGUGCGGGAUGACGGCCUUCGGGUUGUAAACCGCUUUCGCCUGUGACGAAGCGUGAGUGACGGUAAUGAGUAAAGAAGCACCGGCUAACUACGUG